rnacentral:rRNA from 1 species
AGCAGCCGCGGUAAUUCCAGCUCCAAUAGCGUAUAUUAAAGUUGUUGCAGUUAAAAAGCUCGUAGUUGAAUUUCGGGAUCAAAAGAUCGGUCAUGCCUUGGUAUGUACUGGUUUUAUUGGUUCCUACCUUCUAAAGAACCAUAAUGUCAUUCAUUUGAUGUUAUGGGGAAUUAGGACCGUUACCUUGAAAAAUUAGAGUGUUUAAAGCAGGCUUACGCUUGAAUACAUUAGCAUGGAAUAAUGAAAUAGGACAUCAGAUUCUAUUUUGUUGGUUUCUAGGAUCGAUGUAAUGAUUAAUAGGGAUAGUUGGGGGCAUUAGUAUUCAAUUGUCAGAGGUGAAAUUCUUGGAUUUAUUGAAGACUAACUACUGCGAAAGCAUUUGCCAAGGAUGUUUUCAUUAACCAAGAACGAAAGUUAGGGGAUCGAAGACGAUCAGAUACCGUCGUAGUCUUAACCAUAAACUAUGCCGACUAGGGAUCGGAUGAUGUUAAUUUUUUAAUGACUCAUUCGGCGCCUUACG